CCACCGAAAAAGCCCCCAAACAAAAGAAAUGGAGUUCUCUGGCUCAGAAACAGAGUCCCCUGUUUUCCCAAAAACCAAGGAAAACAAGAGCCCAAAAAGCCAUGAGAGCGGCAAAAAAUGGCCAAGGAAGAACAGGGUGACUCUCGAAGGCUAUGUUGAGAGCGAUGACGUGUCAGAGAGUGGGUCCAGCAAUGGAGUUGGGAGAACAAAGAGCCUGACUGACGAGGACUUGGAGGAGCUCAAGGGUUGCUUGGAUUUGGGGUUUGGGUUCAGCUAUGAUGAGAUCCCUGAGCUAUGCAGCACUCUGCCUGCUCUUGAGCUUUGUUAUUCUAUGAGCCAGAGGUUUUUGGAUGAUCAGAGGGUGAGUGAGUCCAGUUCUAGUGAUCAGGAUUCUGUGACCUCAACAAGUUCUAGUUCUAGUUCUUCUUCUCCUCUGGUUGCAAACUGGAAGUUCUCUAGUCCUGGUGAGUUUUCUUAGAUUUUUCUCUUUUCAGUAUUUCUCAAAUUUCUGUCUGUAGCCACUUUUUUUGGAUUGAAUAUACAGCACGAUCAAUAUGGCAUAAUUUAAUUUUUCAUAAUUUUCGUCUUUUGGCUAAAUUAGUUUCUUUUGGUCAUCAAUAUAUUAAAGACUAAUGUUACAAUUAGCUCAGUUCAUAGAUUUCUAUUCUGAACAAAUGAAAGAUUGAUGUAGGCACAAGUUAAAGACAUGAACUUAGAGUAGAGUUAUUUUCGGUCAAUUUCUUAUAAAAGGGGGGAAACUUUUGCUUUCCAGAAAGAUAUCCAACCAAGUUGUUCGUUAGCUAAAAUAUUAAAUUGGUAAUCGUAUAAUUUUGGUAAGAUGCGUAAUUUUCUUGUUUAGAUAAAUAAAUUUGUUUUUA